GGGAAGAUUGUGACUCUUAUGAAACUGCGGUGGAAAGCCGUUCCGUAGAGACCGGCAGCUAUACUUCAGCCCCAAGGAUAACUCUCUCCUAAUCGAAAACAAUGAAGAGUCUCUAGACUUAACCCUCGGACUGCCUUAAAAUCUAACACGUGUAUUAUGGGUGGCCUGGCUUUUGUGGACUAGAGUCCCCUUCAUCCGAGGUAUGAAGGGUUAUUGUCAGGUGUGAAAAUGUUAACCAAUGGGCCCAUCUCCAAAGGAACUGAUAAAACAACCUCUGGAUUCAUUUGAAACAACAGUUGAUAAGAGUCAAGGGAAUUUGGAAAAAGUACUGAACAGAUCUGCUUUGGCUUGGAGGCAAUAAAGCCAGGACUGGACAGAUGACAAGAAGACUUUGUUAUGAUACUUUCAUGAGCUAGAGGUACCAGAAGGUUCUAGGCUACAUUCAUUUACCAUGCUUGCAUCUGUUUCUCUGCCAGAAAAAAAGAAUCAUAAUGAAAUCUACCAAUUAUCCAUUAAUUUGUUUUCAAGAGGAUCUAGAUUUCCAAAAUACUUCAGGUACAUCUCAAUAUGCACAAUGACAAUGUAGGUUUUUCAGAGACUACAGUAAGAUUCCAUUUAUAUCUUCUUUCUUUUUUUAUGGGCUUACUGUCCAGAUCCAUGUGUAACAUUAAAAAACGGAAAAAGGGGGAAAGCCAAAAUAUUGCAUUGGGGAAUUUACUUUCUUAACACAUUUCUAAUAGUAAUAGUAGUCAACAAGGUGCUAUUUAGGCAGGUUGGAUGUCUUAGGUGGCAUUUGAAUUGGGGAGAUUGGAAUGGAGAAAAAUACGAUUUCACAAUAGUGCAUACCAUUGGCUGCAGCAGAAGGUUGUGAACAUCAAAACUUUCUCAUCCAGAAAGGCAAAGAUCCACAUUAGUGCAUGCAGAUCUUUGCUUUUCCCCAUUAUGGUCGGCAUUUACUAGACCAUGUAAACUUAGAUUGGCUAUAAUGUAUAUAGAAAUUCUCUUAAAAUAAAUGGACCUGCUCAGCUUGACCUGAGGAUGAAAUUUUAAAUUUAAUCUUGCUAUGCAGUAAAGUGAUGAACAACAUUUUACCAUUUAGACUAAUACAGACAGAAACUGUUCAACAGAAAUUGAAACCAUCAAGACUUUUUGGAAUUCUCAGACCAAGCUUCCUCCAUCAAGGAGAACAAUUCCUCAAACACAUUGGUCUCUUGUACAAUCCAAGUAAAAUAUAGCACUACAGUUGCAGCAGUUAAAGCUAGACUAAAAAUAAAAUCUUCCCCCUUUGAAUAGUAGAGUGCACGGUGCACCACAUCUUCAUCAAACAAUAGCAUCAACGCCUUGUAUUUUUAAAAUUAUUUUUGCAGUGUUUGUCAGUGAAUGAUGCUCCCUGAAGAUGUAGGUUUAUGAUGAUAAUUUUACCACUCUGCUUGAAAU